GUGAAUCAUCAAAUUUUUGAACGCAAAUUGCACUCUCCUCGGAGAGUAUGCCCGUUUGAGGGUCAGCCUAUAAAAAAUCGACAUCGUUGCUGUUUCGCGGUGGCGUUCGUCGGAAAUUGGGUCAUCUUAAAUCUUUUGGUUUUAAGCGACUUAAAAUUUUCUUUUUGGUUCCAUGCACGUCCCUAAGAUCCAUUCCCUUCCACGCUUCA
rnacentral:misc_RNA from 1 species